UGGGGGAUAUUGCACAAUGGAGGAAACUCUGAUGCAGCAACGCCGCGUGAGGGAAGAAGGUCUUCGGAUUGUAAACCUUUGUCCCCGGUGACGAUAAUGACGGUAGCCGAGGAGGAAGCUCCGGCUAACUACGUGCCAGCAGCCGCGGUAAUACGUAGGGAGCGAGCGUUGUCCGGAUUUACUGGGUGUAAAGGGUGCGUAGGCGGCAAUGCAAGUCAGAUGUGAAAACUAUGGGCUUAACUCAUAGAUUGCAUUUGAAACUGUGUUGCUUGAGUGAAGUAGAGGCAGGCGGAAUUCCCGGUGUAGCGGUGAAAUGCGUAGAGAUCGGGAGGAACACCAGUGGCGAAGGCGGCCUGCUGGGCUUUAACUGACGCUGAGGCACGAAAGCAUGGGUAGCAAACAGG
rnacentral:rRNA from 2 species